GAGUUUGAUCGUGGCUCAGAGCGAACGCUGGCGGCAGGCUUAACACAUGCAAGUCGAGCGCUCGUAGCAAUACGAGAGCGGCAGACGGGAGAGUAACACGUGGGAACGUACCCUUUUGGUUCGGAACAACCCAGGGAAACUUGGGCUAAUACCGGAUAAGUCCGUAAGGAGAAAGAUUUAUCGCCGAAGGAUCGGCCCGCGUCUGAUUAGCUUGUUGGUGAGGUAACGGCUCACCAAGGCGACGAUCAGUAGCUGGUCUGAGAGGAUGAUCAGCCUCACUGGGACUGAGACACGGCCCAGACUCCUACGGGAGGCAGCAGUGGGGAAUAUUGGACAAUGGGCGCAAGCCUGAUCCAGCCAUGCCGCGUGGGUGAUGAAGGCCUUAGGGGUUGUAAAGCCCUUUCGGCGGGAAGAUAAUGACGGUCCCGCAGAAGAAGCCCCGGCUAACUUCGUGCCAGCCGCCGCCGU
rnacentral:rRNA from 1 species